GCUUGGGUUGCUUUUUGGGUAGUGUUUACAUUUUCCCUUGCACUCAUAGUGUGGGAGAAGUGAGCUCUAGAUGUACUACUGAUUGAAUUUGUUCGGGUGUUUGACACUGUUGUUUGUUGCAAAUUCGAAGUGGAGGCAUGUUUGAUUAGAUGGCACCAUUUGUUUUUCAUAAAAACUUCAAUUGGAUAUUGGGAUAGAAGUUGAGGUCUAGUUGUGAUUGCACUUUUGUAGCUAUUGAAGGAUGGAUUAUUCUGGUUACUGGAGUUCAUGAAGAGGCUCAAGAGGACGAUCUGCAAAACGCAUUUGGUGAUUUUGGAGAGAUAAAGAAUUUACACUUGAAUCUCGAUCGUCGUACUAUACGGGUUUUGUCAAGGGCUAUGCUCUAAUUGAAUUUGAGAAGUUUGAGGAGGCACAGAGAGCCAUAAAUGAGAUGAAUGGAACUGAACUCCUAACCCAGACCAUGAAUGUUGACUGGGCGUUCAGCAAAGGUCCAUUCAAAAGAAGGAACAUUAGGAGGAGAUCACCUCGGGGUCAUCAUUCCAGGAGUCCAAGGAGGAGAUUCUGAUCAUGGUGGCAUGUGAGAGUUUUUGGCACUUUGAUUUAGAGUGAAGAUACAAAUGUGAAUCUUUGUUAACUUUUAACAAUGUGUACGAUUGUUGUUUCUGUUGUCAGUUUUCGUUCAUUGACUUCAUUUCAGCUGUAUUAACGUAUUUAUGAGGCUUCUUUGGAUUGCU